AUUGAACGCUGGCGGCAGGCUUAACACAUGCAAGUCGAACGAGUGGCGGACUGGUGAGUAAUGCUUGGGAAUCUAGCUUAUGGAGGGGGAUAACUACGGGAAACUGUAGCUAAUACCGCUUACCAUAGGAUGAGCUCAAGUGGGAUUAGGUAGUUGGUGAGGUAAAGGGUCACCAAGCCGACGAGCUCUAGCUGGUCUGAGCGGAUGACCAGCCACACUGGGACUGAGACACGGCCCAGACUCCUGGGGGAGGCAGCAGGGGGGAAGAUUGCGCAAUGGGGGCAACCUGACGCAGCCAUGCCGCGUGAAUGAAGAAGGCCGUCGGGUUGUAAAGUUCUUUCGGUAGCGAGGCGUUAACUACAGAAGAAGCACCGGCUAACUCCGUGCCAGCCGCCGCGGUAAUUC
rnacentral:rRNA from 1 species